GACGAACGCUGGCGGCGUGCUUAACACAUGCAAGUCGAGCGGUAAGGCCUUUCGGGGUACACGAGCGGCGAACGGGUGAGUAACACGUGGGUGAUCUGCCCUGCACUUCGGGAUAAGCCUGGGAAACUGGGUCUAAUACCGGAUAUGACCUCCUAUCGCAUGGUGGGUGGUGGAAAGAUUUAUCGGUGCAGGAUGGGCCCGCGGCCUAUCAGCUUGUUGGUGGGGUAAUGGCCUACCAAGGCGACGACGGGUGGCCGACCUGAGAGGGUGACCGGCCACACUGGGACUGAGACACGGCCCAGACUCCUACGGGAGGCAGCAGUGGGGAAUAUUGCACAAUGGGCGAAAGCCUGAUGCAGCGACGCCGCGUGAGGGAUGACGGCCUUCGGGUUGUAAACCUCUUUCAGCAGGGACGAAGCGCAAGUGACGGUACCUGCAGAAGAAGCACCGGCUAACUACGU
rnacentral:rRNA from 1 species